rnacentral:rRNA from 1 species
UAUGUGAUCGUCUCUCGCAUAUCAAUAAGCGGAGGAAAAGAAACUAACAAGGAUUCCCCUAGUAACGGCGAGUGAAGCGGGAAGAGCUCAAAUUUGAAAUCUUAAAGGGUUUCCCUUUACGAAUUGUAGUUUAAAGAAGUGUUUUCUGUUGAGGUUUUGGUAAAAGUUCUUUGGAAUAGGACAUCAUAGAGGGUGAGAAUCCCGUAUUUGACCUUUACUUUCAACUUUGUGAUACACUUUCAAAGAGUCGGAUUGUUUGGGAAUGCAGUCCAAAAUGGGUGGUAAAUUUCAUCUAAAGCUAAAUAUUGGCGAGAGACCGAUAGCGAACAAGUACCGUGAGGGAAAGAUGAAAAGAACUUUGAAAAGAGAGUUAAACAGUACGUGAAAUUGUCAAAAGGGAAGCGUUUGACACCAGUGUUGUUUUCUGAAAAUCAAUUAAAGAACUGUUUAUGCUAAGUUGUUUAGACUUUAUCAGCUAUCUGUUUAGUUUUGAGCUUUUCUUUAAUGCACUUUUCAGUUAACAAGUCAACAUCAAUUUCUUUUGCUGUAAAAAAGCUUGAGGAAGGUGGCUUGAGAUUCGUCUUAAGUGUUUAUAGCCUCUUGCCUAUGCAGUCGGAGAGAUUGAGGUCUGCAGCGUAGAUCCUUCGGGGCUAAAUGCAUUUGUGCUAAGUUAUAGCAUUUUAUAGACAACUUGUUGACUAUGAUUUGUCUUGUAGCUUACUCGCUUAUGUUAUUUUACCUACGCUUAGGAUGUUGAGUAGCGACAUACGCAC